AAAAUCCGUCGACUUUAUAAAUCGUGAGGGUUCAAGUCCCUCUUCNNGUGGUUCAAGUCCCUCUAUCCCCA
rnacentral:tRNA from 1 species